AGUGAACGCUGGCGGCAGGCCUAACACAUGCAAGUCGAACGGCAGCACGGCAGUAGCAAUACUGUGGGUGGCGAGUGGCGGACGGGUGAGGAAUACAUCGGGAUCUACCCUGUUGUGGGGGAUAACGUAGGGAAACUUACGCUAAUACCGCAUAAGAACUGAGGUUGAAAGCGGCGGACCGCAAGGCGUCGCGCGAUUGGAUGAACCGAUGUCCGAUUAGCUAGUUGGCGGGGUAAAGGCCCACCAAGGCGACGAUCGGUAGCUGGUCUGAGAGGAUGACCCCCCACACGGGUACUGAGACACGGACCCGACUCCUACGGGAGGCAGCAGUAAGGAAUAUUGGACAAUGGGCGGAAGCCUGAUCCAGCCAUGCCGCGUGAAGGACGAAGGCGCUCAGCGUUGUAAACUUCUUUUGGAUGGGAACAAUAACUCCGACUUGUCGGAACUUGAGGGUACCAUCAGAAUAAGCACCGGCUAACUCCGUGCCAGCAGCCGCGGUAAAAGU
rnacentral:rRNA from 1 species